rnacentral:rRNA from 1 species
UACGUAGGUGGCAAUCGUUGUCCGGAAUUACUGGGUGUAAAGGGCGUGUAGGCGGGUAUGCAAGUCAGAUGUGAAAUUCCUCUGCUCAACGGAGGCGCUGCAUCUGAAACUGUAUGUCUUGAGUGCUGGAGAGGAAAGCGGAAUUCCUAGUGUAGCGGUGAAAUGCGUAGAUAUUAGGAGGAACACCAGUGGCGAAGGCGGCUUUCUGGACAGUAACUGACGCUGAGGCGCGAAAGCGUGGGGAGAAAACGGG